UACGAAGGGGGCUAGCGUUGCUCGGAAUCACUGGGCGUAAAGGGUGCGUAGGCGGGUCUUUAAGUCAGGGGUGAAAGCCUGUGGCUCAACCACAGAAUUGCCUUCGAUACUGGUUGGCUUGAGACCGGAAGAGGUAAGUGGAACUGCGAGUGUAGAGGUGAAAUUCGUAGAUAUUCGCAAGAACACCAGUGGCGAAGGCGGCUUACUGGUCCGGUUCUGACGCUGAGGCGCGAAAGCGUGGGGAGCAAACAGG
rnacentral:rRNA from 1 species